GACGAUCUGUAGCUGGUCUGAGAGGACGACCAGCCACACUGGGACUGAGACACGGGCCCAGACUCCUACGGGAGGCAGCAGUGGGGAAUUUUGGACAAUGGGCGCAAGCCUGAUCCAGCAAUGCCGCGUGUGUGAAGAAGGCCUUCGGGUUGUAAAGCACUUUUGUCCGGAAAGAAAACCCCUGUCCUAAUACGGCGGGGGGAUGACGGUACCGGAAGAAUAAGCACCGGCUAACUACGUGCCAGCAGCCGCGGUAAUACGUAGGGUGCAAGCGUUAAUCGGAAUUACUGGGCGUAAAGCGUGCGCAGGCGGUUCGUUAAGACAGAUGUGAAAUCCCCGGGCUUAACCUGGGAACUGCAUUUGUGACUGGCGGACUCGAGUAUGGCAGAGGGGGGUAGAAUUCCACGUGUAGCAGUGAAAUGCGUAGAGAUGUGGAGGAAUACCGAUGGCGAAGGCAGCCCCCUGGGCCAAUACUGACGCUCAUGCACGAAAGCGUGGGGAGCAAACAGGAUUAGAUACCCUGGUAGUCCACGCCCUAAACGAUGUCAACUGGUUGUCGGGCCUUCAUUGGCUUGGUAACGUAGCUAACGCGUGAAGUUGACCGCCUGGGGAGUACGGUCGCAAGAUUAAAACUCAAAGGAAUUGACGGGGACCCGCACAAGCGGUGGAUGAUGUGGAUUAAUUCGAUGCAACGCGAAAAACCUUACCUACCCUUGACAUGUACGGAAUCCUGCUGAGAGGCGGGAGUGCCCGAAAGGGAGCCGUAACACAGGUGCUGCA
rnacentral:rRNA from 1 species